AAUCUCUCUCGGUUGGUAUUAAUGCCGUUGAGGUUGAGGCUGCCCAGUGGCUCUCUGCAGAUUCCGUUGAUACUAAGUGGAGAGCUAGUGUGCGU
ensembl:miRNA